GGAUGUAGUGCCUGGAAGCUGGUGGUGUCUCAUUUCCCCGUCCGCCUUGCUUUCUGCCAUUGGUUUCUCACCCACGAUGUCUCCGCCCGUUGCGUGACUUUCGACACUUGCGGCCUGUGCCUCACGAGACUGUGGCAGGAGCAGGGAGCGUUUGUCGGCACUGGGACUGUAC